rnacentral:lncRNA from 1 species
AAAAAAAUCAAAUCUAAACAACAAAUUCACUUGAAGACAGUUAUUCACAGUGUAGAAAAAAAAUCCCUUCCACUGGUGGGUAGGAAAAUUUUCUUUUUAAUCUCAGCUUCGAAGGUGUUUAUCCUGUGACUGACCCCGAAAGCCAAGAUGCAAGGAAGAAAGAAUAACUCAGAACCAAGCAGACGAGAGGGAAGUGAAACAGAAUUAAUUAGGCGGAUCAGAGCUGUUGGACACCAGGACCCCGGGUUCCUUGG